UACGGAGGGUGCAAGCGUUAUCCGGAUUCACUGGGUUUAAAGGGUGCGUAGGAGGGCAGGUAAGUCAGUGGUGAAAUCCCCGAGCUUAACUUGGGAACUGCAGUGGAUACUGGCAAGCUGGAGUGCGGUAGAGGAAGGUGGAAUUCCCGGUGUAGCGGUGAAAUGCGUAGAGAUCGGGAGGAACACCAGUGGCGAAGGCGGCCUUCUGGACCAGCACUGACACUCAAGCACGAAAGCGUGGGGAGCAAGCAGG
rnacentral:rRNA from 1 species